rnacentral:misc_RNA from 1 species
CCUGUACAUACAUUAUACUGUGAAUUCUCAGCUACUACGCACCUUCUCCACGCCAGUGUGGCCACCACAAGCACGCCCUCACCUCCUGCCUGCACUGUGUACCAUCUCACGCCCGCCGUCCAUCCCAACAACACACCAUCAAGAUGCCUGAAGGAGAUUGGGAGAAUGGCAAGUCCCAGGUGCUGUGUGAGGGCAGGAAGUCAGGCACAGAGAACUCCUUCGUGUGCCGCUACUGCCAGAGGGUCUUCCGCAAGAGUUACAAUCUGCUCAUCCACGAACGUUCACACGAGGACCACGCCAAGUGUCACUACGAUGUGUUCCGAGUUCGAUCAAGUCUGCAGUAGUUUCUUCUUGCAGGUGUAUGGAAUGUCAUGAAGCACUAAUAUGUAGAUGCAGGAAUUAAAAAAUUACAACUAUGCAACGCUGACUUAUAAACUGUGGUGAAGAGGCUGUGUACUGAAGCUCUCUGACCGCCCGCCCGCCCGCCCGCCCCUCCCAACACCUACAAGAUCUCCAGUCAUCGAUAAAGUCUCCUCGUCCUAGCCCACCAUCACAAGAACUUCCUACUACUGCCGCCACCUCCUCCUCCUCCAGCAGCUGUCUCUCCUUCUGCACUAGUUUCUGUGUUUUUUCUUGUUUUUUUGUGUUUUUUCUUCGUUUUUAUUGUGUAUGGAAAGUGUCUGGUGUUAGUACGAGGUUUUGUUGUCAUUCUUCCAUUCUUCUAAAGCUGCUGAUGAUGCUUCGCUGCCUCGUUGAGUUACUCCCCAUUGUCUUCCCCAAGCUUGCAUCACGCCUUCCUCCCUUACCUCCACAUUCCCUCCAUUUAUUCACCAUCUACCC